AGCCAUAAGGGUUAGUAUUACACCCUUAUGGCUAAUGUGUAAUAAUUACA
rnacentral:sRNA from 12 species